CGCCGAAACGGGCGCAAGCCCGUCUGUAAGGGACGACCUCCUUGCACCGAUGAUGGCAGGUCAGG
rnacentral:hammerhead_ribozyme from 1 species